UGGAGGGGGUUUCCUUGCUUGCAAGCGCCAAGCCUCCAGCGAAAGGGAGAGAGGAGCUCUUAUGGGGGAGAGGGGGAGACAUGAGGAAGAUGGGGCUGGCAGUGAGGACGAUCCUCUCCAGGCCAAAGCCAGUUGGUACAUUCUCCUUCCCGCCCCUUGCCUCAUUCCUAUACCUCUAUUAGCCUCCUGGGCCGGAAUUUUCAGGACCCCUAGGCUGCAGGGCUCCCGCCACAAAGCUGCUCUUUCUCCACUGCUAGUUCGCCGCCUCCGCACUUCUCUCCCUCCACCUCUCUUCCGGCUUCUUUGGGGGGAGGAGGGAAGCCUGGGUGGGGUAUUUUUCUUGGAAUCAUAAGCGUACAAUCACACCUAGGCCCACAGACACACAUGCCAGCGACUGUCCCGCUUCUGCGCCUGCUCUCGGCUCCCACAGGCCCGGCGCUCACUGCCGAGCCGGCUCCACCUCUGCUGACCGCCCAGAGCGCCGCUCUCCGGGAGCUGCUCACAAAGGCAGUCUCCGCUGGCCUCCAGCCGGUAGGCUUCCAUAGCUUGGUUCCUUCUCCCACGUUCCCCACCCCCAAGAAAUGCUGGGGUCCACUCCGCCGGGUAGGAGACCCUUGGUUCCCUGCUUUAGUAGGCCGGCACCCCAGGACUCCAGCUAGUCUCUCAAACACCCUGGCCGAGAGUGACGGAAAGGAGAGCUUGCUCAGCUUGGUCUCAAUUAAAAUGCUCAUCUGCAAGCCCUAGCUUGGCUCAAAGCAUCUCUUUCAGGGCUCUUCUAUUAGAAAAGGAACGAGGAGGAGACAAAACGCCACCAAGGCCCGGAGCUGUUCAUGGCAUCCGCAGCUCAGCUAAGCUGUUGUUUUAAAAGAGCAAUAAAAAUGAAUUAUGACUAAACGCCUUCUAACUUAAUGCUUUCGGACGGGGAUCCCCAGCAAAUACGUAAGAGGAUUUUUAUUUGUGCAUGUGUUCCUGCAAUUGAUCUCUUUGAUGACAUUCUCAUUCAUAGAAAGCGUUUGAUUUAUGAGCGUAGGACGAAUCGCAUCCAGGAGCGGCGCAGCCCUGCCCCGGGCCUGGACGCCCUGCUCGGCGCUGAGCCUGUGGCCGGAAACCGACCGCAGUCUCCACACCCCUCAGCUGCUGCUGAGAUUUAGCUGAUUAAGGAAGGCGUGAGGGAAGAUAGGGAGCAAACCAAGAUCAGCGAUGUUUUUGUAACUUCCAAGGCUUUGCUGUUAAAAGCUGGCUUCUUAAUCAACCCGCCCCACACACAUGUUGCUUAUAUAUGCUUCGUUUUCUCACGGUCUGUUUUGCCUGAACCUAUCAACAGCUGAGAGAUUAAUCAACCACUGAGAAUGUGCAGGGAUUUAUGGGGAAGGGGGUUGAAAUGUAGAUGUUUGAAACAAACAUGUAUAAAAGUGUAUAAAUAAAUGACUUGUUGAUAACUUAGUUAUUGACCUGGACACUGGUAGCUUGUUAAAGAAACCCUAUGUUAGUCA